rnacentral:rRNA from 1 species
UCUCCAUUGGUGACCAGCGGAGGGAUCAUUA